GCUAUGUCACCAAAUAAUGUUUUGCUAAACUUCUUGUCUGUAGUACCUGCCUGAUGUAAUGGGCUGUCUGUUAGUAGCUUAGUAACCCAGAGUAAAACUGAAUCAUCCAUUUUAACAGAAUUCUGCCCCACACUUAACAUUUUCUCCUAACAGAAAACCAAGAAUUCUGCAAAAUUCUUCUAAGUAGAAGCAGCACAAUUCCUGAUAUUAACAAUAAAUAGGAGCACAGAAAAAGCUUUUAGAAAUUUCUCCCAUACCUGUUGAAGUCUAUAUGAAUAUAUUAAGGGGAAACUCCAGGAUGCUAACACUAAAAUAAGAAUUUCAUUAUAUAUGUAUGUAAAUUUAUUGAAAAUUUAUUCAAAAGUCCUCUCCCUGUUUUCCCAUCAUAUUCAGUAAAAGGUGCCUUUUAGUCCCCCUUUUUUUGGUCAUUAAGCCUAUUUGUAUGUUUCAGAGAAAAGUUUGUUUUUAUGUUUCAACCUCUCAGCUAAUGUUUGGAAUCACCCUUUUUGCAAAUGACUGCAAAUCUAUCUUCCUUUCUGACUCUUUGGACCAUAGAGAACAAACCUAAUCUCU
rnacentral:lncRNA from 1 species